rnacentral:rRNA from 1 species
UACUCGAGUGGCGAACGGGUGAGUAGCACGUGGGUGAUCUGCCCUGCACUUCGGGAUAAGCCUGGGAAACUGGGUCUAAUACCGGAUAGGAGCCAUUUUUAGUGUGAUGGUUGGAAAGUUUUUUCGGUGUAGGAUGAGCUCGCGGCCUAUCAGCUUGUUGGUGGGGUAAUGGCCUACCAAGGCGGCGACGGGUAGCCGGCCUGAGAGGGUGGACGGCCACAUUGGGACUGAGAUACGGCCCAG